rnacentral:lncRNA from 1 species
UCCGUCGAGCGCGCGAACGUUGAAACGGUCCGCGAAUUGUCAACAAGUGGGGUUAAUAUACCUACUAUCCGAUUAUAGUGGGUUCGAGUUUACCCGAAAAGUGCGAACACACAUUAUAUUUUUUGAUUGCUUUACGGUGACUAAUUGCGAUGCGAGCAACAUGUAACACAAUGUGACGUUAAGUGUAUAAAUAACCACAACAAACAUUCAGUGUGAUGGCAGUGUAAGAGCAAUGCAACAAUGACUUCGGACAGUUGAUAGUGACGGAGGAGGCAACAAGAUGAUGGGCCGGUACGACGGACGGCUGCUCUCGAUUGUCUUCAGUACUUUGCUGCUGGGACGAGCCAUUGCAGGUGAGUUUA